UCAGAAGGCUACAGCAACAGUUAAAUUUUAGCAUACUGCAAAUACCACGGCUCUUCUCAGUUACAUUUCUUGGUAUACAGUAUAGUAACAUAUGCUACAUGGAAGUGAAUCGUAAAGGCCAACUUCUGCUCUUGGAUUCAGAUCUCCCUGACUUCAGUGAGACUGAAAAGCAAGGGAGCCUGGUGACACCUGCAAGCAGCAAGUAACCAUGGCAAAGUCUCCAUGGGGGAGUGGAGGCAAUGAUCAGCAGAGAAUUCCUGGAGGGUUCUCAUGCUUCAUACAAAUCGUCACCCUGCGGCUCAUUUCAGCCACGUUUUGUGUAGUGAAUGAGCACGUUGAGCUCCUUCCACAGAUUAAUAUGCAUUGUAGAAAAGACACUAAACUACCACUGGCACAAGUAAAACAAGAGAUGAUUGAAACUUAAGGAUGGGUCCAGCCACUCAGCACUGUGCGAGGGAAAGUAAACAAAUUCAAGCAAUUUUUGGAGAGUGAGUCAUGGCUGUACUUGAGUCAACGAGACCAAUAAAUUGCACAUGGCUUAAGGAA